ensembl:lncRNA
GGAAGUUGUCGGGUCAUAGAGUGUUUAUGAAUUGGAGAAGGAAAUGGCAACCCACUCCAGUGUUCUUGCUUGGAGAAUCCCAGGGAUGGGGGAGCCUGUUGGGCUGCCGUCUCUGGGGUCACACAGAGUUGGACACGACUGAAGCGACUUAGCAGCAGCAGCAGCAGAGUGUUUAUGAACAUGAGGAUCCUGUCUGGAUUCUUAACCACUGGACCACGAGGGAAAUCCCUGAUGGCUGGAUAUAAUUUAGAUAUGUGGAGACACGGAAGAGUUUUAAGAAGAGGAAAAAGCAUCAUCUCACAUGGCGACAGAGGAUGAGAUGGUUGGAUGGCAUCAAUGACUCAAUGGACAUGAGUUUGAACAAACUCUGGGAGAUGGUGAAGGACAAGGGAGCCUGGCCUGCUGCAGCCCAUAGGGUCGCAGUCAGACUCGACUUAGCUGCUG